AUUGAACGCUGGCGGCAUGCCUUACACAUGCAAGUCGAACGGCAGCACGGGGCAACCUGGUGGCGAGUGGCGAACGGGUGAGUAAUGCAUCGGAACGUACCUUUCAGUGGGGGAUAACGUAGCGAAAGUUACGCUAAUACCGCAUAUUCUGUGAGCAGGAAAGCAGGGGAUCGCAAGACCUUGCGCUGAUUGAGCGGCCGAUGUCAGAUUAGCUAGUUGGUGAGGUAAAGGCUCACCAAGGCGACGAUCUGUAGCGGGUCUGGGAGGAUGAUCCGCCACACUGGAACUGAGACACGGUCCAGACUCCGACGGGAGGCAGCAGUGGGGAAUUUUGGACAAUGGGGGCAACCCUGACCCAGCCAUGCCGCGUGAGUGAAGAAGGCCUUCGGGUUGUAAAGCUCUUUCGGCCGGGAAGAAAUCGCACGGGCUAAUACCCUGUGUGGAUGACGGUACCGGAAUAAGAAGCACCGGCUAACUACGUGCCAGCCGCCGCCGUAAGAC
rnacentral:rRNA from 1 species